CCUACGGGAGGCAGCAGUGGGGAAUUUUGGACAAUGGGCGCAAGCCUGAUCCAGCAAUGCCGCGUGCAGGAUGAAGGCCUUCGGGUUGUAAACUGCUUUUGUACGGAACGAAACGGUGAGCUCUAAUACAGUUUGCUAAUGACGGUACCGUAAGAAUAAGCACCGGCUAACUACGUGCCAGCAGCCGCGGUAAUACGUAGGGUGCGAGCGUUAAUCGGAAUUACUGGGCGUAAAGCGUGCGCAGGCGGUGAUGUAAGACAGAUGUGAAAUCCCCGGGCUCAACCUGGGACCUGCAUUUGUGACUGCAUCGCUAGAGUACGGUAGAGGGGGGAUGGAAUUCCGCGUGUAGCAGUGAAAUGCGUAGAUAUGCGGAGGAACACCGAUGGCGAAGGCAAUCCCCUGGACCUGUACUGACGCUCAUGCACGAAAGCGUGGGGAGCAAACAGGAUUAGAUACCCUGGUAGUCCACGCCCUAAACGAUGUCAACUGGUUGUUGGGUCUUCACUGACUCAGUAACGAAGCUAACGCGUGAAGUUGAACCGCCUGGGGNGAGCGCGAGUAGAAGACGAAGAGUUAGAGGCGNGAGAGNGCGAGCGACGACGAGGGAGGAGG
rnacentral:rRNA from 1 species